CGGGGCAGGGUGAGUCGACCCCUAAGGCGAGGCCGAAAGGCGUAGUCGAUGGGAAACGGGUUAAUAUUCCCGUACUUGGUGUUACUGCGAAGGGGGGACGGAGAAGGCUAUGUUGGCCGGGCGACGGUUGUCCCGGUUUAAGCGUGUAGGUGUGUGUUCCAGGUAAAUCCGGUUCACUUUAACACUGAGGCGUGAUGACGAGGCACUACGGUGCUGAAGCAACAAAUGCCCUGCUUCCAGGAAAAGCCUCUAAGCAUCAGGUAACAUCAAAUCGUACCCCAAACCGACACAGGUGGUCAGGUAGAGAAUACCAAGGCGCUUGAGAGAACUCGGGUGAAGGAACUAGGCAAAAUGGUGCCGUAACUUCGGGAGAAGGCACGCUGACACGUAGGUGAAGUGAUUUACUCAUGGAGCUGAAGUCAGUCGAAGAUACCAGCUGGCUGCAACUGUUUAUUAAAAACACAGCACUGUGCAAACACGAAAGUGGACGUAUACGGUGUGACGCCUGCCCGGUGCCGGAAGGUUAAUUGAUGGGGUCAGCGCAAGCGAAGCUCCUGAUCGAAGCCCCGGUAAACGGCGGCCGUAACUAUAACGGUCCUAAGGUAGCGAAAUUCCUUGUCGGGUAAGUUCCGACCUGCACGAAUGGCGUAAUGAUGGCCAGGCUGUCUCCACCCGAGACUCAGUGAAAUUGAACUCGCUGUGAAGAUGCAGUGUACCCGCGGCAAGACGGAAAGACCCCGUGAACCUUUACUAUAGCUUGACACUGAACAUUGAGCCUUGAUGUGUAGGAUAGGUGGGAGGCUUUGAAGUGUGGACGCCAGUCUGCAUGGAGCCGGCCUUGAAAUACCACCCUUUAAUGUUUGAUGUUCUAACGUGGACCCGUGAUCCGGGUUGCGGACAGUGUCUGGUGGGUAGUUUGACUGGGGCGGUCUCCUCCUAAAGAGUAACGGAGGAGCACGAAGGUUGGCUAAUCCUGGUCGGACAUCAGGAGGUUAGUGCAAUGGCAUAAGCCAGCUUGACUGCGAGCGUGACGGCGCGAGCAGGUGCGAAAGCAGGUCAUAGUGAUCCGGUGGUUCUGAAUGGAAGGGCCAUCGCUCAACGGAUAAAAGGUACUCCGGGGAUAACAGGCUGAUACCGCCCAAGAGUUCAUAUCGACGGCGGUGUUUGGCACCUCGAUGUCGGCUCAUCACAUCCUGGGGCUGAAGUAGGUCCCAAGGGUAUGGCUGUUCGCCAUUUAAAGUGGUACGCGAGCUGGGUUUAGAACGUCGUGAGACAGUUCGGUCCCUAUCUGCCGUGGGCGCUGGAGAACUGAGGGGGGCUGCUCCUAGUACGAGAGGACCGGAGUGGACGCAUCACUGGUGUUCGGGUUGUCAUGCCAAUGGCACUGCCCGGUAGCUAAAUGCGGAAGAGAUAAGUGCUGAAAGCAUCUAAGCACGAAACUUGCCCCGAGAUGAGUUCUCCCUGAGACUUUAGGUCUCCUGAAGGAACGUUGAAGACGACGACGUUGAUAGGCCGGGUGUGUAAGCGCAGCGAUGCGUUGAGCUAACCGGUACUAAUGAACCGUGAGGCUUAACCUU
rnacentral:rRNA from 1 species